AUUGAACGCUGGCGGCAGGCCUAACACAUGCAAGUCGAACGAGUGGCGGACGGGUGAGUAAUGUCUGGGAAACUGCCCGAUGGAGGGGGAUAACUCCUGGAAACGGUAGCUAUUACCGCAUACCAUCGGAUGUGCCCCGAUGGGAUUAGCUUGUAGGUGAGGUAACGGCUCACCUAGGCGACGCUCCCUAGCUGGUCUGAGAGGAGGAACAGUCAGACUGUAACUGAGACACGGUCCAGACGCCUACGGGAGGCAGCAGUGGGGAAUAUGGCACAAUGGGCGCAAGCCUGAUGCAGCCAUGCCGCGGGUAUGAAGAAGGCCUUCGGGUUGUAAAGUACUUUCAGCGAGGAGGCGUUACCCGCAGAAGAAGCACCGGCUAACUCCGUGCCAGCAGCCGCGGUAAUAC
rnacentral:rRNA from 1 species